AGCUUUGCACAGAGGCAAUUUAAUAGCCAAUGAGGUUUAUCUGAGGCACAAUUAUUGCUAAUUGAAUCUUAAAAUGGAAUCAGUUGAAAAAGUCACCAAUCAAACUGACAUAUGUACAACAUAUGUAUUUCAGCUUGCAUUGAAUUUUAAGACAUUCGUGAAU
rnacentral:snRNA from 1 species